AUGUAUGAUGACUUACUGGAAUCUCGUUCGGCUGAUGGCUUGCUGUUGAGACUCGGAAAUCUGACUUCU
rnacentral:snoRNA from 14 species